rnacentral:lncRNA from 1 species
GUGUUUUAUAAUAAUAGGAAAAAGAAUAUAUAGUUUGGGUUUAAAUCUUUAUCCAGUGCAUUGCACCAGAUAAUGACACUCUUAUUUACUGUUUAUUGGUCAUAAAGUACUGAAUGACAUAAUAUAUGUUUUGUUGAAACAGUUAAUACUUAUCGCAGUGAAAAUGGAAAAAAAAUUGAAAAUUGUCAAAUUGCAUCAGUCAUCACCUGCAGGUCUUUCUUUAGGAGUCUUGCCACGAUGUAGCCUUUUUGUGCUGAUGACGCAGAAAGGAAUCACUAAUCAAUCAACAUUUCAGUAGUCAAUUGACAUCUAAAGACUUUUGAAUUCGUCAGAGCAUUUAUUUAUAAAAAAAAAAUUUAAAAAAUAAAAUUUGUCAUUGUUUGUUCAAAUUUUGAUGUUAGGCCAAAUAAAAAUAUAUGUGUGGUUCCAGUAACACGGCCGACC